rnacentral:rRNA from 1 species
AACGAACGCUGGCGGCAGGCCUAACACAUGCAAGUUGAACGCCCCGCAAGGGGAGUGGCAGACGGGUGAGUAACACGUGGGAACCUUCCCUAUACUACGGAAUAGCCCAGGGAAACUUGGAGUAAUACCGUAUACGCCCGAGAGGGGAAAGAUUUAUCGGUAUAGGAUGGGCCCGCGUAGGAUUAGCUAGUUGGUGAGGUAAUGGCUCACCAAGGCGGCGAUCCUUAGCUGGUCUGAGAGGACGACCAGCCACACUGGGACUGAGACACGGCCCAGACUCCUACGGGAGGCAGCAGUGGGGAAUAUUGGACAAUGGGCGCAAGCCUGAUCCAGCCAUGCCGCGUGAGUGAUGAAGGCCUUAGGGUUGUAAAGCUCUUUUGCCGGGGACGAUAAUGACGGUACCCGGAGAAUAAGUCCCGGCUAACUUCGUGCCAGCAGCCGCAGUAACAC